GACGAACGCUGGCGGCGUGCCUAAUACAUGCAAGUAGAACGCUGAAGCGAGGAGCUUGCUCUUCUUGGAUGAGUUGCGAACGGGUGAGUAACGCGUAGGUAACCUGCCUGGUAGCGGGGGAUAACUAUUGGAAACGAUAGCUAAUACCGCAUAAAAUGGAUUAUCGCAUGAUAAUCCAUUGAAAGGUGCAAAUGCAUCACUACCAGAUGGACCUGCGUUGUAUUAGCUAGUUGGUGGGGUAACGGCCUACCAAGGCGACGAUACAUAGCCGAUCUGAGAGGGUGAGCGGCCACACUGGGACGGAGACACGGCCCAGACUCCUAAGGGAGGCACCAGUAGGGAAUCUUCGGCAAUGGACGGAAGUCUGACCGAGCAACGCCGCGGGAGUGAAGAAGGUUUUCGGAUCGUAAAGCUCUUUUGUAAGAGAAGAACGAGUGGGAGAGUGGAAAGUUCACACUGUGACGGUAUCUUACCAGAAAGGGACGGCUAACUACGUG
rnacentral:rRNA from 1 species